rnacentral:lncRNA from 1 species
AAAGAAGGCCUUUGAGCGGCAGAAAUAAAACACUCUCUUCUCUCUCUUAAAACCCUAGCCGCCUUUUGUAGAUCUGAGGGAGAGGUGGAGUUUUUUCUCUGGUUUGGUUUCCUCCGGUGAGUUAUUCUCCUCUCCCUCCCCCUCCCUUCCAAGUUCUCUGUUCUUCAUCUUUCACAAGGUGAGUUUUAGGUCCGGUGGUGGGUGUUGGCCAUGUUUCUCCAGUUGUGUAGUGGAGUGGUAGAUCUGCCUUCGAUGUUUUCUGUGGUUGAGACCGGUGCUAAGAGCCGCCUUGCCGUUUCGCCGCUGUUGAAGACUCAGUGGUUAGGUUAAGGUGGUUUGGCUUACGGUAUCAGUUUCGAAGUUGCAGAGAGUGGCGGAAGUCGAAAGGCGGAUAGGAGGGUUUACACAUGUGUUGGAAAGAUUAGCGACUGGAUCUCUUUAGAUCUGUGUUGGCUGGCUCGGAAUUUGCUAGCGAUUAUGGUGCUGUUGAGCCAACAACCUAAGCGCUACCGAGUUGGUGUUCGAUCCGCCUGGAAUGAAGCAUGUGCUGGCUAGAAAAGCUAUUCGAACUGCUGGCGUAAGGAGUGAGGGGAUAGAGUCGAUGCCUCUUGUUGCUAGGUCGGGACAAGACGGUGGUGGGCUCUGGUUGUCUUUGAUUUGGUCCAGCUCGGAAAAGGUGUUGCAGGUAAGAUCCGACGGUGGUAAUAGGGUUUUGGUUUGGAUCCGUUAGCUCCGACUGAAUAACUGGAGCCGCCGAAGGGGAAGCAAAGUAGUGCUUUUUGCUAACGCCGGAAUUUCUGGACGGGAAUCGAUGCUUCCGGUGGUCAAACUAGGCUCCGAUCCACAUUUCUAGCUAGUAUUUUCGUUUGUUUUUCCUUGUAAACUACUGGGCCUUAGCCCAUCUUGUACUACCCAUUAAGGGGAUUAAUAACAGAACUUGCAUUAAAAAAAAAAAA